UAAGCACUAAAGCGGAGUUUCCCACACAGGCGCGUGUAUUGGACGCCUCGGGCGGAGCGCGGGCUGGCGCCGAGGACCAACCUUGACAGCGGCGCGCACUAUAAAGCGGCGCGUGCUGCGACCCAAGCACGCUUUGGGGAGAGAAAUGCUGUGAAUAGCCUGCCUCCCAAAGCUACCACCCUUCAGGAAGACGGAAAGUGAAGACUUGCUUGUACUCCCACACCUCCUUGGCCUAGCUGCUGAAGACUAACGAGGCCCGGGGCCCUGGCACCAUCUGCUAUCAACUGCAUUGGAGCCCUGGGUACCUUUACUAGUAUCAGGUGUAGCUUCCAGCUGAGGACCAUCCACUGCCCAGCAAGGUGCUGAAGGUCCUGACCAUCACUUGGUAAGAACGGAGGGGGCUGCCUGUUAUUCGUGGUGAUGGAGAAGGCAGACAUAGACAGGUGCCCAGCAAGUGCUGAGCCAUGUUCUGCCCUAAGCACUGGGCUCAUUAACCUUUUGUAGUAACCCUGUUGUGGGCAGGUUGGGAUGGGGUUUGGGGCUGGGUUGCAGAGAGAUGUCCCAUGUCAGGGUUCUUGAAAGGGCUGCACUUGGGGCCCCAUGAUGUCCAGCACUGGGCUCCGACUGCCCCAGAGGACACGGUGCCCCUCCCCUCAGUGCCUUUUCUGUGUCCUUCACCUGACAGCGUCCCUCCAGGCUCUCUGCUGCUUCCUGCCUAGGCGUGGCUGCAGCCAUGACUAGGAAUGUGCUGGCGUCCACCCACCUGGGCUGGGGCUGGUUCUGCUCGUGCUGCAGGACACUGAGCUCCUGGCUCUCUCGGCACUUGGGGCAGAACUGCAGCCAGCUCUCCUGGGUCCUGCCAGCAUACAGCUGGGAGCCCUGUCUUCUGCCUCAGCUCUUGAGGGCUCCUCCUGCUGCUGGGUGAACUGAUCCAACCUGACAAUGGUGUCAUCUUCAGCUACCACUGCAAGGCCCUGAAGGCAAUAGUGGCACAGCAGUGCCUACCUGGCUUCUGAUAGCCUGGUGACAACUGGGAGACCUCCCUGCACUUUGAGGCCACUGAGCUGCCAUUCCAGCCCCAACCCACCAUGGACAGGGGCAUCCAGCUUCCUCUCCCCUCCUUGUCCUCUGCUCCUGAGCCAGUGAUGCCCAAGGACAUGCCUGUUACCCAGGGCCUGCACCAGUGCCUGCUGGUCAAGGGUAUGAUGGUGCUGGAGGCUGUCCUGGAGAUCCAGACCAUCACCAACAGCAAGCUCAUCUCUAUUGUGCCAGGGCCAGCCAGGCCACCAAGCUCACGCUAGGACCCAACCCAGUGCACCAGGACCUGGCUGCUGAGCCGAGAGCCCAGGAGAAGGUGGAUAAGCUGGGGAUGGAGCCACCACUCCCCGCCUAUUCUGACCAGACCUGUGGGAAGUAGCUGCCCAUGCACCACAGCCAGCCCUGGGCCUGGCUCUGGAGGACAGACACCACCCGGCCUGGUGCUCCAGGGGUAAAGCAGGGAGGCUGGGUUCUGGGGGAGCUGCUCCUGGUGUGAGCUGCAAUCAGGAAGCACGGGACAUGGUAGGGGAGGCAAAAAGCCUUGGCCACUACCCUCCGUGUGUAGCCCUUCAGUGUCCCUUGAGCAAGCCACAGCCUGACACCAUGUUCAAGGGCCCCAGAAGCAAAGGGUGUCUGCCCAAACCCUCCCCUGUGGGUGUCACUGGCCAAACAUCAUGAGGGGAGCAGGCCUUGUGAGUAGACACCAUGAGUCCCUGGGGGGAGUGAUCACGUGCCAUGUUACAUUUCUGCCCAGGCAGCAGGGUAGGUGGGCACAAUGGGUGCCUACCUCUGUCAUAUGGGUCCCCAAAGCACUCCAGGCCAAGCAGGGAGAUCCCACGCCCAUGAUGAAAGCAUCUUCAAGCUUUUCCUCAGUUUUCGUAAGGUUCGUUUUGUUUGUUGCCCAGGCCCAAGUGCAGUGAUGUGACCUCAGCUCACUGCAGUCUCCACCUCCUCGGUUUAAGUGAUUCUCCUGUCUCAGCCUCCGGAGUACCUGGGAUUACAGGCACCCGAUACCACACCCGGUUAAUUUUCUAUUUUUAGUGGAGACAAGGUUUCACCAAUGUUGUCUAGGCUGGUCUUAAACUUCUGACCUCAGGUGAUUCACCCCCCUCAGCCUCUCAUAGUGCUGGGAUUACAGGCAAACAUGCUUUGGCUAUGGGCAGCCGGUCCCUUCUGAUAGGUCUGGUUUCACUGUGUGGCUUGCCUGGUCUGAGUUCUGAGUCUGAAUUUAGGGUGUGUUGGGGCCAGGAUCACAGGUGACAGUUCUGUGAGGGCGCACCAAGCCCUGGCAGUUCUGGCUUCAUAGCUGGGGUCUUGGGCACACAGGCCCAUUAAACAACAGACAUAUACCAUUCCCAGCUGUAGUGCUUAACACUGGGCUCGGGUGGUGCGCUGGGUCUAUGGCGGGGCAAGGGGGAUGCAUACAGGCCCUUUCAGCAGGCUGCUGGGAAAGGGGUGGCACUUGCCACCAGGUGGGAGCUGCCUACAACCACAGGUAGCCCUUCCUGGCACUUUGGGUUUUCAUGAACCUGCAAGGAAGCAGCCAGGCUUCCUCCCAGGGCCAGAAAGCAUGACGGACCUUCAUUCCUUAGGGUUUCUGGGGUCAUAGUCCCUGGCAUCUACUUGGGGGGCCCUGUGACCACCCAGUGCCUCUAGGGAAUGCCGGGCAGGGCAGUGAGGGAGAUCUGGGGGCCCCCUAGGGGUGAGUGUGUGACAGGCUGCCUUCAGGACCCUGGGAAGAAAUGGGCCAGGGGAGUAUGCAGGUGGCCCUGGUGUGGUGAAGAGGUAGUCGCAGCUUCCACCCCCAGCCUUUCUGGACCCUGUGCCUUGUUUAGGUCCUGGUUGCUGCGAGUGGCUUUGAACCUCCUACUGCCCCAUCUGAUAGGGACCAAGUGGCUGUUCCUGAGUGUCCACUGCACCUGGGCCCCACACAAGUGCCCUGGUUAGUGCCACAUAACCGUGGGUGUGGGGCAAGGCCUGGGAGGGGCUGGCACUGCCCCAGGCCCCACUAGAGGACAGCCUCCCCUCCUGGGGUCAGGGGCUUAAACAGCCACGGUGCAGGUGGUCCGCAGUGGCUGCUGCUGCAUGAGUGGGUGUGGGGUAACUCAUCAGCAUCUGAUAAAUGCAGUGGUGAAUGUGUGGCCUGUGCGACAGUUGGGACCUGAGAGCUAUUUUAUUUGACCUAAAUUUAAAUGGCCUCAUAUGGUCAUGGAUACAGUACUGGCCUAUGCCUCCACAUCACUUGCAGCACAAGUCAUGGCUCACAGCCCAGAGUGUCACUGGUUUUCCCUGCUCUUUGCUGGCCUCCAGGAAGUUAAUUUUGGGAGUUGCAGAGUCCGUAGGGUUAGAGUCGUGGUUCUGCCAAAUGAGACACUGAGAGGCUUGUCACUUGCCCAGAGUCACACAGCCUUAAAAUUGGCGCCAGCUGUGAAACCAGACUUAGAAUCGUGCACCUUUCCGAGCUCUCUGCUGCCAGGUCCCCUUCACACCACCCGGGUUCAUGGUUGCAUUGAGAGCUAGUCAGGGUCACCAACCAGACUUGAGGGUCAAACUCCUGUGAGCCCAAUCUCUGCAGAGCAUGUGGCCCACGUUGAGGCUCACUGAGCAAGCUCUUGCCACAUGAGCUGCAUGGAAGUGCAUACAGGGCCCACCAUGUCCUCAGAUACCCACCUGCACCCACGCUUGUAUGGAAACAUGCAUAAACAAGCCAGCUGAACGCUGAGGCUCACACCUGUAAUCGAGUGCUUUGGGAGGAGGGGGCUUGCCUGAGCCAGGAAUUUGAGACCAGCCUGACCAAAAUACGGAGAAAACAAAUUUAGCCGGGCAUGAUGUAUACCUAUAGAGGCUGAAACAGGAUCACUUGAGACCAGCUCAAAGCUGCAGUGAGCUAUGCUCAUGCCGCUGUAUUCCAGCCUGGGCCACAAACCCUGUUUCUACCAAAACAAGUGCCAUGCAGGCAUACCUGCCUGUACAUAUUCCCACUUAGAUAUGUGCACAUUUGUGCUUGAAUGUGUGCCACAGACAAACCACCUGUGCAUGCACUAAGUGCAGAGACUUCAUGCACAUGAUGUGAACUCAUGGUUUUCAGGCCAGAGAACCCACCCAGCCCUUGGUCCCCAUGCACACAGGCGCACAGUAAGUCACAGAAGUCAGAGCAGUGAGUGAGCACACGUUGGGGUCCAGUGUCAGCUGGGGAUAGGGAAGUCCUGCUUUCUGACUCACACAGGCCCCCCAAAGGCCCGCAGGCAUCCUGGUCUCCAGGCCAGCAGGCCCAGCCCCAGGCUGAGCACCACCAGCACAGCCACAGCUCCUGCCAGCACGGGCACCACUGGGGCUGCAGGGAGAGCAUGGGUGUGAGUUCCAGGACUUGGGACCCUCCACUCCCACCCCAGCACAGAGCACUGUUACCUGGGGGGAUGGCAGCCUCAUAGGGGCCAUGGCAGGAGACCCCAUGGGCUGGAGGCCGGGCCGGAGCGGUCAGCUGGUGGAAGCGGCCUAGUGGACAGGGGACCGGACAUCCAGGGAGGCUGAGAGGCAGGGGCAGGUGGGCAGAGUUGUUGCGGUAGAAGAGAGAGACGGUGACAUUCCUGGAGAGAGAGGACACAGUGGCACCUCCUCCCUUUCCCUGUUAAUUGACCUUAAAACAGAGAAAGGGCUCCUGAUUCCCUCCUGUCUUCAUCCCAGAACCAUCCCACACAAUUCCCAGCCGGCCAUGCCCUCUGCCUUGCAUUUUACCCCUUGCUUUGAGGGUUCUUUCCCACCCAUCUCCCUGGAACCACCCGGUCCUCACCCUCCAUCUUCGUCAGGAUCCCCCAGGCGCCUCCGGAACUCAAAGCCAAGGCAGGCAGCAUACGGAGGGGUGUGUCCAUCAUAGAGACCCAGGGCCCCCUGGAGGGCCAGCAGGGUGCUGUCAUGCUGCAGAUGGACCCAAGGGCUGAGAUGGCACUUAUCUGGAGGUCUCCUUUCCCCUGAACACUAGGCUUGUGCAUCCAGAUGUCCCCAGGCUUCUUAGAACCAACUCCCCAAACCUGCUCCUCCCUCAUCCUGAAGGCGGUGCCAUCAGUUACAGGCGGUCAUUUAAUAAAGAUAACUCAAAUAGACGCACAAUAUGAUUGGACUAAGCAGCCUGUCCUUCCAGAGGGGCACUCCACAACAUCACCUCCCUCUCUCCAGACUCUGUACUUCUAAUGAUAUAGUCCAAGAGUAGGGUUUGGAGAUACUGGUUACCCAAGGCAGUGGGCUGAGGUCCGUUGGGAGCACAGACUUCCUCACCCAAAUUACUGUCAUCCUCCUCCCUAUGCCUCAGUGCUACAUGGCACUGCUUCCCAAGGACUCACAGCUGAGUACAUGACCAUCUUGAGGGGCAGCCCCAGUCGCUGGACCCGGGAGAAGUUUGCAAGGAUAGCAUUCAACAGGAUUCCUGAGGGUGGGGAAAAAGAGCUUGGAAUUCCCAGAGGAAGGCACCCCAGCCUCCCAGCCGCACACCUUACCUCCUGUCAGCUGGGCCUUUUCUGCUGCCCGAGGUGGGCCCACGUGGGCGCCAAUAUCCAAAGCUGAGAUCUGGGCAAGAGUCCGCAGGACAUCUGCGGAGGCCCAGGCUGGUAGGGGAAGACCAUGGGCUUGCUGUGGGGAGGCAAGGGGGAGGACAGAGAUGGACCAUCCUGAGCCCUCGAAUUCGCCUCUGGUCCCCCAGGCCUGUGCUGCCCCCUGCUCUUCUGAGUCCCCCAUGGGCUGAAUCUGGCUGGGAAAUCAUUUGAACAGCAGUGAUUAUUUUUAUUUUUUAAAUUGGAACCUUGCUCCAUCACCCAGGCUGGAGUGAAUUGGUGCGAUCUUGGCUCACCACAACCUUUGCCUCCUGAGUAGCUGGGAUUACAGGUGCCUGCUACCAUGUCCAGCUAAUUUUUGUAUUUUUAGUAGAGACCGUUUUACCAUGUUGAUCAGACUGGUCUCGAACUCCUGACCUCAGGUAAUCUUUCUGCCUUGGCCUCCCAAAGUGCUGGGAUUACAGGUGUGAGCCACCGUGCCCAGCCAACCGUGAUUAUUGAUAAUAGACAUUGUCAUUACACAGCCCAGAAGGCUUUAUCUGAAACUCAUGGAGCCAGAGGGGUUUCACAACUCAGACAUUCUGGACUUUAGAAAGGUCUGAUGGUGCUGAUACCACACAGCGGGGAACACACACAGCAAGGGCUGGGGCAGCCCCAUUAGUCACACACAUCGCUGCUUUCACCCUGCAAUUCGGAACAUUCCUAUGAGCUGGAGCGAGCAGACCAGCAAGAGUACUAGCUGGGUGUGGCGGCUCACGCCUUUACUCCCAGCACUUGGGGAAGCUGAGGUGGGAGGAUUGUUUGAGCCUAGGAGUUCUGGGCAACGUAGGGAGACCUCAUCUCUGCACACACACAAAAAAUUUUGGCUGGAUGCGGUGGCUCACACCUGUAAUCCCAACACUUUGAGAGACUUGAGGUGCGUAGAUCACCUGAGGUCAGCAGUUAAAGACCAGCCUGACCAAUGUGGAUAAGCUCCGUCUCUAUUAAAAAUACAAAAUUAGUUGGGCAUGGUGGCACAUGCCUGUAAUCCCAGCUACUCAGGAGGCUGAGGCAGGAGAAUCGCUUAAACCUGGGAAGCGAGAUUGCUGUGAGCCGAGACUGUGCCAUUGCACUUUAGCCUGGGCAACAAGAGUGAGACUUCAUCUAAAAAAAAAAGUAGUGUUGUUUUUUAAUUAGCCAGGCAUGGUGGUGUGCACCUGAGGCAGGAGCAUUCCUUUAGCCAGAGAGAUGGAGGCUGCAGUGAGCUACGAUAGUGCCACUGCAUUUUACCCUGGGUGAGAGAGUGAGACCCUGUCUCAAGAAAGAAAGGGAAAAAAAGGAAGGAAGAAGGGAGGGAGGGAGCAUUGCAUCACUGCAGGUCAGCUCCCGCUGCCCAGGUUUUAGGUUUUGUGGGAAGUAAAGUUCCUUUUUAAAGUUUCCUUUCUUGUUAAAGAAUAAGCAUGCUAAUAGCUUUGUUAAGCCCUAUCCUAUGUAGCUGUUAGACAUGCCAUGCUUACAGGCACGUAGUACGUUCUGUUUCCUUAUACUCUAACCAAAAUAUCUGUGUACCUGUUUAGAAAAGGUUUAUUAGCCAGUCGGGUUUUCGUUUAGAUUGUGAGGUCUGGCUCCAGCUCACGGAGAUCAGACACAGCAGUAAGGACAACCCCAAAUGUUUAAGGGAUAAAUUUGUGUGUUUUCCUUUGUUUUCUGUACUCCCGUGGCAGGAUGGCUAGUAAGAGUACCCUUCCUGCCAUCCAGGAAGUAAAAAUUGCGUUGUUGAAA